rnacentral:rRNA from 1 species
GGUUAAGCGACUAAGCGUACACGGUGGAUGCCCUGGCAGUCAGAGGCGAUGAAGGACGUGCUAAUCUGCGAAAAGCGACGGCGAGGUGAUAUGAACCUUUGACCCGUCGAUGUCCGAAUGGGGAAACCCAGUGUGUUAAAGGGUCAUUCUGAGAAUGAAGAUUCCGACGUUACUAACUGAGUGUUGUAUCUAAUCGUGGGGGCAGGUCAUGCCCAUUGUACUUGUUGACUGGUCUGAUAUUCGUGAGCAAAAACGACUUAUGGUAUUGCGAGCUUCAGUCGCACU